GCUUUCGUAGUGUAAUUGGAAGCAUACUCGACACGUAAUCGAGAGGUUCAGGGUUCGAGUCCCGGCAAGGGCA
rfam:Stegodyphus mimosarum contig88311, whole genome shotgun sequence.